rnacentral:rRNA from 1 species
UCAGUGUAGCAAUACAUCGGCGGUCCUAGUGGCGCACGGGUGAGUAACACGUGGGUGACCUGCCCUUGAGCUCGGGAUACCCCCUCGAAAGGGGGGCUAAUACCGGAUACGUUCCUCGGUCGAAAGACUGGGGAGGAAAGGUGGCGCAAGCUGCCGCUCUUGGAGGGGCUCGCGGCCUAUCAGCUAGUUGGCGGGGUAACGGCCCACCAAGGCUAUGACGGGUAGCUGGUCUGAGAGGACGACCAGCCACACGGGGACUGAGACACGGCCCCGACUCCUACGGGAGGCAGCAGUGGGGAAUUUUCCGCAAUGGGCGAAAGCCUGACGGAGUGACGCCGCGUGUGGGACGAAGGCCUUCGGGUCGUAAACCACUGUCAGUGGGAAAGAUGGGUGUCGAUGCUAAUACCAUCGGCAUCUGACGGUACCUGCAGAGGAAGCCCCGGCCAACUCUGUGCCAGCAGCCGCGGUAAGACAGAGGGGGCAAGCGUUGCUCGGAAUUACUGGGCGUAAAGGGCGCGUAGGCGGGAUGGCAAGUCGGUCGUGAAAUCCCUCGGCUCAACCGAGGAACGUCGAUCGAUACUGCUGUUCUUGAGGAUUGCAGAGGAGACUGGAAUUCCCGGUGUAGCGGUGAAAUGUGUAGAGAUCGGGAGGAACACCGGUGGCGAAGGCGGGUCUCUGGGCAAUUCCUGACGCUGAGGCGCGAAAGCGUGGGGAGCAAACGGGAUUAGAUACCCCGGUAGUCCACGCUGUAAACGAUGAGCACUAGGUGUGGGGGGGGGUUCAGU